AUGGCUCCGCCGCCCGCCGCUCAGGCCGUUGCCGCCCUCCUCCUCGCCGCACUGCUCGCGCUGGCCUCCUCCCACGCCGCCGCGGCCACCGGCGUCUUCCAGGUGCACCGCAAGUUCCGGCGAGCUGCCGGCGAGGAAGGCGGUAACAUAACCGCCCACCUCGCCCACGACAUCGGCCGCCGGGGCCGUCUCCUCGACGCCGUCGACGUGCCCCUCGGCGGCCUUGGCCUCCCCACCGACACCGGGCUGUACUAUACGAAAAUCGAGAUCGGGACGCCGCCCAAGCCGUUCCACGUGCAGGUGGACACCGGCAGCGACAUCCUCUGGGUCAAUUGCAUCACCUGCGACAAAUGCCCCCACAAGAGCGGCCUCGGGAUAGACCUGAUGCUGUAUGACCCCAAGGGAUCAUCUAGUGGGAGCACGGUAUCAUGCGACCAACCGUUCUGUGCCGCCACAUACGGGGGCAAGCUACCAGGGUGCACUGCGAGCUUGCCUUGCGAGUACAGUGUCAUGUAUGGUGACGGUAGCACCACCACGGGCUAUUUCGUCAGUGACUUGCUGCAGUAUAAUCAAGUCGCUGGGGAUGGGCAAACACGGCAUGGCAAUGGCAGUGUCACAUUCGGGUGUGGUGCUCAGCAAGGUGGGGAUUUAGGAAAUACAAACCAGGCCCUUGAUGGAAUUAUUGGGUUUGGCCAAUCAAAUACAUCAAUGCUAUCACAGCUAGCUGCUGCAGGAAAAGUGAAGAAGAUAUUUUCUCAUUGUUUGGAUACCAUAACUGGAGGUGGAAUCUUUGCUAUCGGAGAAGUUGUACAGCCAAAAAUAAAAUCAACACCAUUGAUACCCAAUAUGCCGCACUACAAUGUGAAUCUGAAGUCAAUUGAUGUUGGUGGUACUGCUCUACAGCUUCCAUCACAUAUUUUUGAAACGGGUGACAAAAAAGGUACCAUCGUUGAUAGCGGUACAACCUUGACAUAUCUUCCGGAGCUGGUUUACAAGGAAGUAAUGGCUAAGAUUUUUGCCAAGCAUCAGGAUAUGACCUUCCGCAGUAUUCAAGAUUUUCUGUGUUUUCAGUAUCAUGAAAGUGUAGAUGAUGGAUUUCCAAAAAUCAUCUUCCGUUUUGAGAAUGAUCUUGGAUUGAAUGUUUAUCCACAUGAUUACUUUUUCCAAAAUGGGGAUAACCUGUAUUGUGUUGGGUUCCAAAAUGGUGGAUUGCAAUCAAAGGAUGGAAAGGAUAUGGUGCUUCUAGGAGAUCUGGUCCUUUCAAAUAAGGUGGUUGUCUAUGACUUGGAAAACCAAGUCGUUGGAUGGGCCGAUUACAACUGCUCCUCUAGCAUGAAAGUUAAGGAUGACAAGACAGGGGCAGCAUACACAGUUGAUGCGCACGAUAUAUCCUCGGGAUGGAGACAUCAGUGGCAAAAGUUCCUGGUUCUGUUAGUAACAAUGGUGUGCAGUUACUUAAUUUUCUAA
rnacentral:rRNA from 1 species